rnacentral:rRNA from 1 species
UACAGAGGUCUCGAGCGUUAGGCGGAAUCACUGGGCUUAAAGCGUGUGUAGGUGGAUCGGUAAGUACCUUGUGAAAUCCCACGGCUUAACCGUGGAACUGCUUGGUAUACUGCCAGUCUUGAGCCAGCUAGGGGCUACCGGAACAAAUGGUGGAGCGGUGAAAUGCGUAGAUAUCAUUUGGAACGCCAAUGGUGAAAACAGGUAGCUGGGGCUGUGCUGACACUGAGACGCGAAAGCCAGGGGAGCGAACGGG